GGCGUAUGUUGCCCAGGCGGAGUUCGAAAGCCCGUUCAAGCGAUGAAGGCGUUCAUCGACCAGCACCGCGAAGUCUAUGGAGUCGUGCCGAUCUGCAAGGUGCUGCCGAUCGCUCCA
rnacentral:ncRNA from 1 species